GAAAUGCGAUAAGUAAUGUGAAUUGCAGAAUUCAGUGAAUCAUCGAAUCUUUGAACGCACCUUGCGCUCCUUGGUAUUCCUUGGAGCAUGCCUGUUUGAGUAUCAUGAAAUCUUCAAAGUAAAUCUUUUGUUAACUUAAUUGGUUUCUACUUUGGUAUUGGAGGUCUUUGCAGCUUCACACCUGCUCCUCUUUGUUCAUUAGCUGGAUCUCAGUGUUAUGCUUGGUUCCACUCGGCGUGAUAAGUUAUCUAUCGCUGAGGACACUGUAAAAGGUGGCCAAGGUAAAUGCAGAUGAACCGCUUCUAGUAGUCCAUUGACUUGGACAAUACUUUUAUGAUCUGAUCUCAAAUCAGGUAGGACUACCCGCUGAACUUAAGC
rnacentral:misc_RNA from 1 species